UUGGCCCUGAAUCAAGGCCAGCAGUUUGCUCAAUCUGUUGGUUUCAAGCAGGAACUCAAAGAAUUGUCUUUCUCUGGGGUGUUGGCCAUUUCAGAACUUUGGAAAUGUAAUGGUCAAUUCAUUAGAAAGAAACAUCU
rnacentral:snoRNA from 1 species